GUCUGCACGGGGAAAGUUUUAGGUCCUGGGAUCCUCGCAGGUGUCAUGGCUCAGUAGUUUAUCUUUAAAACUUACUUUUUUUGGUGCUCGGUCUUCAGAGGGAUUAAUUCUGCCACGUGUUAGGAGUUUGAGGCUCUCGCCCUAGCAAGGCCCCUUUGCACUCGACUCGUCUGUUUCAGGUUUCCGUGCCGUUCGUUGGGAGACUCCCCUCCCUGGGGCGACCUUCCCUCUGAGACUCCAGAGCCCUCCACGCUUGGGUCUCCGUCCCCGGUGGGGAACCCAGUCCACCCGGGAGCGAGCGGGAAUGAAGCUGGACGACGCCUCCCCGCCCUCCGAGGGCUCUGCCCGCACCCUCGAAAAUUCCCUCUCCAAGAUUCUGCACGGUCUUAGCCAGGCUUCAGGCCGGGGCCACGCCACACCCUCCGUCCUGCACGACCUCAGUGCUUUAAUCGAGGCGGCCGACGGGGACGAGUUAUUUGUGGGGAGUGGGACUCGGGGGAUGCCCGAGGUCCUGGGACAGGUGGCGAAGGCCCUGGAGAAGUUCGCAGCCCCGCCCCAGGAGAAGACAGGGGGAGGCGAUGGCCAUUCCGAAGUGCCCGAGAAGGCAACCGAAGUCGGGCUACUGUUUCUCAAGCUGCUGGGGAAGGUGGAAAGUACUGCAAAGAGUUCUCCCGUCUGCCCUGCGUGGAAGACAGGCCUCCGCCACUUGGCGGGACCCGUGUAUGUUUUUGCUAUCACACACAGACUGAAGCAGCCCUGGACCAGUACAAGGUCUCAGCAGGUGGCUGAUGAGGCGCUGUCCUUACUGCUUCGGGUUACGGAUUGCAGUUCUGUGGCAGGAUUCUUAUGCGGGGAAAAUGAGGACGACCGAGGGAGAUUUGCUGCGGUCUUGGGGCUUCUGAAACCCCAUUUGAAUAAGGAAUCCUGGAAGAAUAAUCCCGCUGUUAAACAUGUUUUCUCCUGGACUCUGCAGCAGGUCACGCAGCCCUGGCUGAGCCAGCACCUGGAGAAGAUACUUCCUCCGUCUUUGAUCAUCUCAGAUGACUAUCAGACUGAGAAUAAAGUCCUGGGUGUGCAGUGCCUCCAUCACAUUGUGAUUAACGUGCCGGCUGCUGAUUUGCUGCAGUACAACAGAGCCCAGGUCCUGUACCACGCCCUUUUCAACCACUUGUACAUGCCAGAGCACCACCUCAUUCAGGCUGUGCUCCUGUGCCUCCUAGAUUUAUUCCCUGUCCUAGAGAAAGCUCUGCACUGGAAGGGAGAUGGAGCUCGAGCCACUGCACACUGUCAUGACGUACUUCAACUCAUCCUCACCCACAUGGAGCCAGAGCAUCGCCUUCUCUUACGUAGGACGUAUGCCAGAAACCUGCCCGCCUUUGUGAAGAAGUUGGGGAUCCUAACUGUCCGGCACAUGAAGAGGCUGGAGCAAGUUAUUGUUGGUUAUCUGGAAGUUUAUGAUGGACCAGAAGAAGAAACGAGGUUGAAGAUACUGGAAACCCUGAAACUUGUCAUGCAGUAUACUUGGCCCAGAAUUUCCUGCAGAGUUGUGGUCUUGCUGAAGGCUCUCCUGAAACUGCUAUGUGAUGUAGCAAGGGAUACAAGCCUCACAUCCGAGGCCACCAAGAGCACCCUGCUCCAGGAAGCCACAGACUGCCUGAUUCUUCUGGACCAUUGUUCUCAGGGGCAGGUGAAGGGUCUUCUGUCUAGAAUCGUCCUGUCCUGUGAAGACAGCACAGUGGUGAGCUGCAUCACUAAAGUGCAGCAGUGCUCUGCAGGUGUCCCUGAGUGACACCAUGACCAACCAGCAAGAAAGGGUGUGGAUGGAGUUAUGGAAAAAUCUAUUUUUAUACUAAACAUUGUUCAUUACACUAGGAUUAAUGCUUCAGUGAACCAAGAAACGGGAAUUUUCUGAAAAAGGUUCACAUGAUUUUUAACAUUCUCUGCUGAUCUCAAUGAAAAGGCCUCCAUUUGGCCUCCUUCAGAACUAUUAGUCCUGUGGAUUCCAUGUCAUCUCUACACUGAGUGUAGUUCAUACUUCUGAUAAUCACAUUUUUACAUCAUUUUGAAACCUUUCAUUUCAGCUUUUCUCAGGGACUACACAGAAAAAAUUUCAGGUGGGUAGGGCAUACAUCUUCUGCCUUAAAAUCCUGCAGAGCCACUGGGCACAUCCAUAUCCCAGUUUUGUCUUGGCAUAGCAUAAAGGAUUAGUCACAGGUGAGUUUAAUAGGAAGCGCUGUUUGUGACACAGUCUAGGGAAAGGCUGAACGUAAAUAAAGGAAUGA